UAUAUAUAAGGGGGGUAGAGGUGUUGAGAGGCACCUCAGGUGCUUGCUGCCAGGAAGGGGCGGGCAUGCAUGGGGGACGCUGGCAUGGGGCGUGGGCAUUGGGGGCAUGCACGGCUUGUCCGUGCUACGUCCUCGAUGUUCCCAAACCUUGCCGGCAAGUACUCGUGUGGGCUCGUAGUAAGCCUGGUGGUGGCACCGCUCGUGGCAAACAUUGGCUUUUGGCAAUGAACGGUGGAGCGUCAUGCAAGUAGCACCGCAAGGUGCCGUGCGCAUGGGGCGAAGCUUAGUAAUUGUUGAUCGCCAUUGGAUGUUGCGGGCAAAAUCGGGAGGCGACAUCGCUCGUGGCGGCUGAUGGCUUUUGACAACAGAGCGGCAAAGCGUCGUGCAAGUAGCGCCGCAAGGUGCCGUGCGCAUGGGGCGAAGCUUAGUAAGUUGCCGAUUGCCAUCGGUUGAUGUGGGUUGUGUCUGGCAUUGUUCAAACCCCCUAUUCGUGCUUUGCGGGGCUUGUCUUGGCUUUGCAAUGUUGGCAUCGGCAACAACACAUGGCUGCGCGUCGCGUGUUGGGGCUGGUGUUGGCUUUGUAUCGGCGAGGCAAGUGUACGUGCGGCACAUGAGUGGUGUUCGGCUUGUGUGGCUAGGUUGGAUCCCUGCUCGAGCAGCGACGUCCUAGCUCGCAUGCCAUCUCAGUCAUGUCACAAGCGCAAAUUAGGCUUGUUCGACGUCGGUUUUCUGUGUUGCAUACCUAAUGCCAAGGCAUUAUGAAGCACAAUCGGUCGCCUUUCUCCCUUCGCGUUCGACGUGCGGGGUGAACCAAAAGCUGCAGUUGAGUCCCAGGUCGUCCUGGCUUCGCCUUGCGAUGGCUUGGUCCACGACUUAGCAUGCUCGGGCUCUCGGAUUCGGUAAACACAAUGGGCACGGGGCCUUCAUUGGCUUCUAUCUGCCCAAAGAAUGCUCCUUACGAAUGACGGUCGUGCUCGCCUUGGACUUGGCCGUGCCCUUUUGGGUCGGCUACGCUCAUGCGACGCCGGCGUCAAUGAGGAAUGCU
rnacentral:misc_RNA from 1 species